rnacentral:rRNA from 1 species
UACGGAGGGUGCAAGCGUUGCUCGGAAUCAUUGGGCGUAAAGCGCGUGUAGGCGGUUAACUAAGUCUGGUGUGAAAGCCCGAGGCUUAACUUCGGAAGUGCACUGGAUACUAGCUAGCUAGAGGACGAGAGAGGAAAGUGGAAUUCCUGGUGUAGGGGUGAAAUCCGUAGAUAUCAGGAGGAACACCAGUGGCGAAGGCGGCUUUCUGGCUCGUUUCUGACGCUGAGACGCGAAAGCGUGGGGAGCAAACAGGAUUAGAAACCCGUGGUAGUCC